rnacentral:rRNA from 1 species
ACGAACGCUGGCGGCAUGCCUAACACAUGCAAGUCGCACGAGACCUUCGGGUCUAGUGGCGCACGGGUGCGAAACGCGUGGGAACCUGCCCUUAGGUUCGGAAUAACUCCCCGAAAGGGGUGCUAAUACCGGAUAAUGUCUUCGGACCAAAGAUUUAUCGCCUUUGGAUGGGCCCGCGUUGGAUUAGCUAGUUGGUAGGGUAAAAGCCUACCAAGGCGACGAUCCAUAGCUGGUCUGAGAGGAUGAUCAGCCACACUGGGACUGAGACACGGCCCAGACUCCUACGGGAGGCAGCAGUGGGGAAUAUUGGACAAUGGGCGAAAGCCUGAUCCAGCAAUGCCGCGUGAGUGAUGAAGGCCUUAGGGUUGUAAAGCUCUUUUACCCGGGAUGAUAAUGACAGUACCGGGAGAAUAAGCUCCGGCUAACUCCGUG